AACACUCCUGGGUUUGGCAGUACCACCAAUAGGUAUCAUAUUGAGCACCACUAUCAAGAGAGUCACCUCCAGAUUAAUCCUCAUGCUAUAGUGGCCAUUGGACCUGACAUUGACUAUACCACACCUCAUGAUCGUGCCACAAAGUUCAAUUGAGCCGAUCCAUCAAACUAUAUAGAGCAUUCUUAAAGUAGUAGGCUUUAUUCAAACUAACUUGUGUAGUUUUAGUAGUUUUUUUUCAGUUUUUUCAUGAUAGAGUUUUAAGGAA